rnacentral:rRNA from 1 species
UACAGAGGUCUCAAGCGUUUGUUCGGAUUCAUUGGGCGUAAAGGGUGCGUAGGCGGCGCGGUAAGUCGGGUGUGAAAUCUCGGAGCUUAACUCCGAAACUGCAUUCGAUACUGCCGUGCUUGAGGACUGGAGAGGAGACUGGAAUUUACGGUGUAGCGGUGGAAUGCGUAGAGAUCGGGAAGAACAUCAGUGGCGAAGGCGGUCGUGCUGGGCCGUUGCUGACGCUGAGGCGCGACAGCGUGGGGAGCAAACAGG